rnacentral:rRNA from 1 species
CCUGGCUCAGGACGAACGCUGGCGGCGUGCUUAACACAUGCAAGUCGAGCGGUAAGGCCUUUCGGGGUACACGAGCGGCGAACGGGUGAGUAACACGUGGGUGACCUGCCCUCCACUCUGGGAUAAGCCUGGGAAACUGGGUCUAAUACCGGAUAUGACCACGGAUCGCAUGGUGUGUGGUGGAAAGUUUUUUCGGUGGGGGAUGGGCCCGCGGCCUAUCAGCUUGUUGGUGGGGUGAUGGCCUACCAAGGCGACGACGGGUAGCCGGCCUGAGAGGGCGACCGGCCACACUGGGACUGAGACACGGCCCAGACUCCUACGGGAGGCAGCAGUGGGGAAUAUUGCGCAAUGGGCGGAAGCCUGACGCAGCGACGCCGCGUGGGGGAUGACGGCCUUCGGGUUGUAAACCUCUUUCGCCAGGGACGAAGCGUGAGUGACGGUACCUGGAUAAGAAGCACCGGCCAACUACGUGCCAGCAGCCGCGGUAACACGUAGGGUGCGAGCGUUGUCCGGAAUUAUUGGGCGUAAAGAGCUCGUAGGCGGUCUGUCGCGUCGGUCGUGAAAACCUGCAGCUUAACUGUGGGCUUGCGGUCGAUACGGGCAUGACUGGAGUUCGGCAGGGGAGACUGGAAUUCCUGGUGUAGCGGUGAAAUGCGCAGAUAUCAGGAGGAACACCGGUGGCGAAGGCGGGUCUCUGGGCCGAUACUGACGCUGAGGAGCGAAAGCGUGGGGAGCGAACAGGAUUAGAUACCCUGGUAGUCCACGCCGUAAACGUUGGGCGCUAGGUGUGGGGGCCAUUCCACGGUCUCUGUGCCGCAGCUAACGCAUUAAGCGCCCCGCCUGGGGAGUACGGCCGCAAGGCUAAAACU